AGACCCGAAACCCGGUGAUCUAGCCAUGGGCAGGUUGAAGGUUGGGUAACACUAACUGGAGGACCGAACCGACUAAUGUUGAAAAAUUAGCGGAUGACCUGUGGCUGGGGGUGAAAGGCCAAUCAAACCGGGAGAUAGCUGGUUCUCCCCGAAAGCUAUUUAGGUAGCGCCUCGUGAAUUCAUCUCCGGGGGUAGAGCACUGUUUCGGCUAGGGGGCCAUCCCGGCUUACCAACCCGAUGCAAACUGCGAAUACCGGAGAAUGUUAUCACGGGAGACACACGGCGGGUGCUAACGUCCGUCGUGAAGAGGGAAACAACCCAGACCGCCAGCUAAGGUCCCAAAGUCAUGGUUAAGUGGGAAACGAUGUGGGAAGGCCCAGACAGCCAGGAUGUUGGCUUAGAAGCAGCCAUCAUUUAAAGAAAGCGUAAUAGCUCACUGGUCGAGUCGGCCUGCGCGGAAGAUGUAACGGGGCUAAACCAUGCACCGAAGCUGCGGCAGCGACACUGUGUGUUGUUGGGUAGGGGAGCGUUCUGUAAGCCUGUGAAGGUGGCCUGUGAGGGUUGCUGGAGGUAUCAGAAGUGCGAAUGCUGACAUAAGUAACGAUAAAGCGGGUGAAAAGCCCGCUCGCCGGAAGACCAAGGGUUCCUGUCCAACGUUAAUCGGGGCAGGGUGAGUCGACCCCUAAGGCGAGGCCGAAAGGCGUAGUCGAUGGGAAACGGGUUAAUAUUCCCGUACUUGGUGUUACUGCGAAGGGGGGACGGAGAAGGCUAUGUUGGCCGGGCGACGGUUGUCCCGGUUUAAGCGUGUAGGUGUGUGUUCCAGGUAAAUCCGGUUCACUUUAACACUGAGGCGUGACGACGAGGCACUACGGUGCUGAAGCAACAAAUGCCCUGCUUCCAGGAAAAGCCUCUAAGCAUCAGGUAACAUCAAAUCGUACCCCAAACCGACACAGGUGGUCAGGUAGAGAAUACCAAGGCGCUUGAGAGAACUCGGGUGAAGGAACUAGGCAAAAUGGUGCCGUAACUUCGGGAGAAGGCACGCUGACACGUAGGUGAAGUGAUUUACUCAUGGAGCUGAAGUCAGUCGAAGAUACCAGCUGGCUGCAACUGUUUAUUAAAAACACAGCACUGUGCAAACACGAAAGUGGACGUAUACGGUGUGACGCCUGCCCGGUGCCGGAAGGUUAAUUGAUGGGGUCAGCGCAAGCGAAGCUCCUGAUCGAAGCCCCGGUAAACGGCGGCCGUAACUAUAACGGUCCUAAGGUAGCGAAAUUCCUUGUCGGGUAAGUUCCGACCUGCACGAAUGGCGUAAUGAUGGCCAGGCUGUCUCCACCCGAGACUCAGUGAAAUUGAACUCGCUGUGAAGAUGCAGUGUACCCGCGGCAAGACGGAAAGACCCCGUGAACCUUUACUAUAGCUUGACACUGAACAUUGAGCCUUGAUGUGUAGGAUAGGUGGGAGGCUUUGAAGUGUGGACGCCAGUCUGCAUGGAGCCGACCUUGAAAUACCACCCUUUAAUGUUUGAUGUUCUAACGUGGACCCGUAA
rnacentral:rRNA from 1 species